UUAUGGGACAACACUGUUGGGCACGAAGAUUAAGAAGAGUAGAAUUAAGGGAAUUAGAUGUUAGUGUUAUUUUAAUUAACAAGUCACACACGCACAGUCACUCCUCUCUCGGCCUGUCUCUCUGUCGCCGGCCUGGCUCUCUGUCGCCGGACUGGUACACGGCGCCGCCGCCGGCGAGCGCCUCUGUCGUCAGCCCCUCUCCGUCCUUCCCCUGUCACCUCUCUCUCCCUUCCCUCU
rnacentral:lncRNA from 1 species